rnacentral:rRNA from 1 species
CCCUUAGAUGUUCUGGGCCGCACGCGCGCUACACUGACGGAGUCAACGAGUUGUCCUGCAUCGGAAGGUGUGGGUAAUCUUUUGAAACUUCGUCGUGCUGGGGAUAGAUCUUUGCAAUUUUCGAUCUUGAACGAGGAAUUCCUAGUAAGCGUGAUUCAUCAGAUCGCGUUGAUUACGUCCCUGCCCUUUGUACACACCGUCCGUCGCUACUACCGAUUGAAUGGUUUAGUGAGGCCUCGGGACUGGCGCGCUCGAGUAGCAAUACACCUGCGCGCCGGGAACUUGGUCAAACUUGNUNAUUUAGNGGAAGUAAAANUCGUANCA